GUGGGUUUCCUCCAGGUGCUCUGACAUGUUCUCCCUGUGUCAGCGUGGGUUUCCUCCAGGUGCUCUGACAUGUUCUCCCUGUGUCAGUGUGGGUUUCCUCCAGGUGCUCUGACAUGUUCUCCCCGUGUCAGCGUGGGUUUCCUCCAGGUGCUCUGACAUGUUCUCCCCGUGUCAGCGUGGGUUUCCUCCAGGUGCUCUGACAUGUUCUCCCUGUGUCAGCGUGGGUUUCGUCCAGGUGCUCUGACAUGUUCUCCCUGUGUCAGUGUGGGUUUCCUCCAGGUGCUCCGACAUGUUCUCCCUGUGUCAGCGUGGGUUUCCUCCAGGUGCUCUGACAUGUUCUCCCUGUGUCAGUGUGGGUUUCCUCCAGGUGCUCCGACAUGUUCUCCCCGUGUCAGCGUGGGUUUCCUCCAGGUGCUCUGACAUGUUCUCCCUGUGUCAGUGUGGGUUUCCUCCAGGUGCUCUGACAUGUUCUCCCUGUGUCAGCGUGGGUUUCCUCCAGGUGCUCUGACAUGUUCUCCCUGUGUCAGCGUGGGUUUCCUCCAGGUGCUCUGACAUGUUCUCCCUGUGUCAGCGUGGGUUUCCUCCAGGUGCUCCGACAUGUUCUCCCUGUGUCAGCGUGGGUUUCCUCCAGGUGCUCUGACAUGUUCUCCCCGUGUCAGCGUGGGUUUCCUCCAGGUGCUCUGACAUGUUCUCCCUGUGUCAGCGUGGGUUUCCUCCAGGUGCUCUGACAUGUUCUCCCAGUGUCAGCGUGGGUUUCCUCCAGGUGCUCUGACAUGUUCUCCCUGUGUCAGCGUGGGUUUCCUCCAGGUGCUCUGACAUGUUCUCCCAGUGUCAGCGUGGGUUUCCUCCAGGUGCUCUGACAUGUUCUCCCUGUGUCAGCGUGGGUUUCCUCCAGGUGCUCUGACAUGUUCUCCCCGUGUCAGCGUGGGUUUCCUCCAGGUGCUCUGACAUGUUCUCCCUGUGUCAGCGUGGGUUUCCUCCAGGUGCUCUGACAUGUUCUCCCUGUGUCAGCGUGGGUUUCCUCCAGGUGCUCUGACAUGUUCUCCCUGUGUCAGCGUGGGUUUCCUCCAGGUGCUCUGACAUGUUCUCCCUGUGUCAGCGUGGGUUUCCUCCAGGUGCUCUGACAUGUUCUCCCUGUGUCAGCGUGGGUUUCCUCCAGGUGCUCUGACAUGUUCUCCCUGUGUCAGCGUGGGUUUCCUCCAGGUGCUCUGACAUGUUCUCCCUGUGUCAGCGUGGGUUUCCUCCAGGUGCUCUGACAUGUUCUCCCUGUGUCAGCGUGGGUUUCCUCCAGGUGCUCUGACAUGUUCUCCCUGUGUCAGCGUGGGUUUCCUCCAGGUGCUCUGACAUGUUCUCCCUGUGUCAGUGUGGGUUUCCUCCAGGUGCUCUGACAUGUUCUCCCCGUGUCAGCGUGGGUUUCCUCCAGGUGCUCUGACAUGUUCUCCCUGUGUCAGCGUGGG